UCGGGAAUUUUGGGCAAUGGGCGAAAGCCUGACCCAGCAACGCCGCGUGAAGGAUGAAGUAUUUCGGUAUGUAAACUUCGAAAGAAUAGGAAGAAUAAAUGACGGUACUAUUUAUAAGGUCCGGCUAACUACGUGCCAGCAGCCGCGGUAAUACGUAGGGACCAAGCGUUGUUCGGAUUUACUGGGCGUAAAGGGCGCGUAGGCGGCUUGACAAGUCACUUGUGAAAUCUCUGGGCUUAACCCAGAACGGCCAAGUGAAACUGUCAUGCUAGAGUGCAGAAGGGGCAAUCGGAAUUCUUGGUGUAGCGGUGAAAUGCGUAGAUAUCAAGAGGAACACCUGAGGUGAAGACGGGUUGCUGGGCUGACACUGACGCUGAGGCGCGAAAGCCAGGGGAGCAAACGGGAUUAGAUACCCUGGUAGUCCCUGAGCGGGCUGGCAAGGCGCAU
rnacentral:rRNA from 1 species